rnacentral:rRNA from 1 species
GAUGAACGCUGGCGGCGUGCCUAAUACAUGCAAGUCGAGCGAACAGAUAAGGAGCUUGCUCCUUUGACGUUAGCGGCGGACGGGUGAGUAACACGUGGGUAACCUACCUAUAAGACUGGGAUAACUUCGGGAAACCGGAGCUAAUACCGGAUAACAUUUGGAACCGCAUGGUUCUAAAGUGAAAGAUGGUUUUGCUAUCACUUAUAGAUGGACCCGCGCCGUAUUAGCUAGUUGGUAAGGUAACGGCUUACCAAGGCAACGAUACGUAGCCGACCUGAGAGGGUGAUCGGCCACACUGGAACUGAGACACGGUCCAGACUCCUACGGGAGGCAGCAGUAGGGAAUCUUCCGCAAUGGGCGAAAGCCUGACGGAGCAACGCCGCGUGAGUGAUGAAGGGUUUCGGCUCGUAAAACUCUGUUAUUAGGGAAGAACAAAUGUGUAAGUAACUGUGCACGUCUUGACGGUACCUAAUCAGAAAGCCACGGCUAACUACGUG